CGGAUUCUAUAUCUAGGUGGCCUAGGUGACUGGAAGGCAUCAUCUGAACAGGUGAAGCUGGGCUUGUGUUCAGUCUACCCUACAGGUGAUGGUGAGAACUGGGUGCACACAUCCUGGGCUCUAUUUAUAGUACUAAAAAAAAAAACCCUCUAUUCCAGUCCUCCCCAUGUACAGAACAAAUGGCGCCCACCUAUCAACUUUCUCCAGAAUCUCGGCGAUGUUGGUCAGCGGCUUCCGGAGGUGGUGCCUCAGGUUGCGCUGCAGCAGGGGUAGGCAGAUGUUCCACUGUGCGGUGCACAGCACGUGGAUGGUCGUGGGAUUACCCAGACGAAUGGCCCGCUGCAGUAUGUUGUCCAGUCUCUUUAUGAUAAUCAGCUGCUCCUGUAAGGGGCACAGUGAAUGACUGGCUGAGGGCUGUGAG
rnacentral:lncRNA from 1 species